GGCGCUAGAUUCAAAGAGCGGCUCCACUGUUACAAGUCUCUUUUUCUUUGUUGUAAUUACGAGGAUAAUUUAGAGAUCACCUCAGCUCACCUGCGGACUAACUGACAAUCAAGUUGAUACAUGACACUCCCAGCAGAAUAAGACUGAUGCCCACACAUUUGGACCACUGUGAAGCCCCUACCACCAGUACAACUCAUCCAUGGUACAUGUAACUAGACUGCGGCCGUCAGAUCAGGGGCCCUUUUCAUUAAGAGUUACAACUGAUGUAA